rnacentral:rRNA from 1 species
AUGGUCAUCAAAAUGCAUCCCCCCUUCCUCAAUGACUUCGAUAGCUGCUGCAAUAUCUCUUAUAUCAGCAUCUGCAGGCAACAAAGGCCGAAAGGCCGAAUAAUCUGCAUUAUCACAGUUGGAUGUGAUUAUAUCCAUGAGUGCAGCGACAAGCAUGCUCCUUCCUUUAGAGUGAUCUGA